GACAUCAUCAUCCCCGUGUAUACAAAGGUGAAACAAGCAGCGGUCUAACCCCCCUUGAGGUUCUUGAGAGAGCAGCCAAGGAAGUCAGAGAAGGGAAGAAGUCCAUUCAAGCAGCAGCAAAGGAUGAAAACAUUUACUGAAUGACAUUGAAGAGGAACCUUCAAAAAAAGAAAACAAACAUGAACCUGUGUGAAGGAUAGGCUGUGACAGAGUAAAAGAGGCACAAUAAGGUCUUAUCUGAUGACAUGGAGUCUGAGCUUGUUAACAUAUCAAGAAUCUUGUGGACCAGUUUUAUGGGCUUAGUAGCCUCAAAUGCAGAGAACUUGCCUACGAAUUGGCACAUCAAAACAACAUCCCUGUCUCAGACAACUGGUCAAGAAAUGGAAGAUCCCAGGACACCAUUACCCACUUACCCCAAGGUGCUUCAACUCAAAGCUCACAGAGAAGGUGUGUGGUGCAUCAAAAGGCCAAGAGACCCUCAGGCACCAAAGGCCCAAAGAACAUCACUAUGAACAGGUUUACAUUAUUUUUGUGUUAUAUUUGUCAAAAUGAUCCACUGACUUUCAUUCAACUUUCUCAGCGCUCCCCGUCCUCCUCAUCAUAAUCAUAAUCAACAUCAGCAUUAUCAUUACCAAAUCAAAUUUGAUUUGUCACAUGCGCCGAAUGCAACGAUAGACCUUACUGUGAAAUACUUACUGACAGGCCCUUAACCAACAAUGCAGUUCAAGAAAUAGAGUUAAGAAAAUAUUUACAAAAUAAACUAAAGUAAAAUUUUUUUAAUUAAAAGUAACAAUAAAAUUACAUAACAAUAACGAGGCUAUAUACAGGGGGUACCGGUACCGAGUCAAUGUGCGGGGGUACAGGUUAGUCGAGGUAAUUUGUACAUGUAGGUAGGGGUAUGUAGGUAGGGUAGGGGUCAAUGUAAAUAGUCCGGGUGGCCAUUUGAUUAAUUGUUCAGCAGUCUUAUAUCUUGGGGGUAGAAGCUGUUAAGGAGCCUUUUGGACCUAGACUUGGUGUUCUGCAUGCUCAUUAACACCCGUAUAUUGGUAUCUUCUCUGAAAACUGCGAAUUCAUAGACUGUACAGUAGGUGCAAAUUAACCACUGUACGUAUUUGUUGAUUCUAUUGAGGCCAUCAUUUCAAGCCCUGUACUUGGCCAGCUCAUGUAAAAUAUGAGGUCAGUUUAUUUUUUUAAAUCAGCCUCCGUUUCAAUCCCGCUCGAGCUCACCCCACCACAUUCUGCAUCGGCAACAGAAGAAAAAAAACGUGCUCCAUCCUUUCUGUUUCACCCUGAGCAAGUCCUCAUUCAUACUUAAACCCAAAUUAUUUGUUGAAGGCGAUUAGAGUUUUAAUAACCGUAAGAGGAGAAUGCCUGUGAAUUGCCUAGUCAAAAUAUUUAUACUGCGCUCAGAAUAAAAUGGGCUGGUUUUUGCCAGAGUUCAGUGGAGACAGUAUAGCUUUAUUUUAGUCCACAGCCUGCCAACCCUGUUGCUACAACCCCUCCACAUCCUAGUCCAAAGCAGAGGCCGUAUAGAACAAUCAUUUAGCUGACGUCCAUUUGGACUGACUAUGUGGUUGACUCAUACACAACUAAAAGGACAGGAGUGUGUGUGGAUGGGUGAUGCUGAUGUGUAGAGGUGGGAGGCAGAGGGUGGUAGCUGUUCAGUCCCCUCCUUGUGUGUCACCUUGCUGGCACAACCGGGCCUGGUGAAAAAUCCCUCAAGAGUCCUCAAGUUUAUCAUCUUAUCAUUGUAAAACAAUCAGUACAGGAACAAGCACCUCAUUCCCUGGGUUUUCACAGACAAGGAAAAUAAUGACGAAGCUACAGUAACCCUGUGUGGAACAGAUUACAUAAGUGAAGACUGUGUUUCAUAAGUAGGUGCCAGCGAGAUGUGAUAGGAUCUUAAUGUGGUGUUAAAUGUAUGUGAAUGUUUACACUUACUUUUGACAUUUCGUGACAAGACUUUUAAAUAACCAUUCAUCGGAGUUCAAAUGGCAAUAUGGGAAUUACUUUAUGAGUCCCUUAGAUUAGUUGAUGGAAGGCUAAUGUGCAAUGAACAAAUACAAAAUGGCUUCACUGUAAAUUUUGUUCACGGUUAAAAAAUGUAUUGCACAAUAUCAAAUAAAUGUUGCCCUGGGAAAAUGUCUUUGUCAAAUAAUGGUAAUGCACUCCACACAAGGAAAAUACUACAUGAUAAAAAGAGUUGGACCACACUGUAAAUAUGAAAC